CGGCUAGCUCAGUCGGUAGAGCAUGAGACU
rnacentral:piRNA from 14 species